rnacentral:lncRNA from 10 species
GUUUAAAUGGUGCCCUCAGUUCAUCUAAGAAAGAGGAACAGAAAGAAUGAGCUCAUGGGGAUCAAAGAUGUGGCACUCCCAGAAGCAUGUGAGAGCUUCAGGCCUAACUUGUGCAUAACAGAGUUGAAGAGCUGACACGGUGCUUACUAACUCAUCAGAAGCAGAAGCGCCCUGGUGAUUCUAUGCCACACCACCAUUCCCCAGGAAAAUGUUCUCCACUGAGACAAAAUCCUUAAAUUUUUAGAAUGGCCUUAUUAUGGAUUACAGCAAACAUCUCAGCACAUCUUUCUCAGCAAGGAUCUCAAAACAGCAUUGGGAUGGCCUUAUUAAUAGAUCCCUUACGAAAACUCAGAAAAGUUAGAGAGGCACUCAGAAUCUUCCUAAAAUAUGAAAUGUUGAAAUCUGGAUUCUUUUUUUACCAUGACUGCAAAAUGUAAGCCACUACUUGGGCUCACCUUGUUGAAUCAGAUUUCUUCUACUUUGCCAUUUUGAUGAUAUCACUCCCAGGAGAUGAAUCUAUUGCUUCCAGAGCAUGAAUACUAGAACAGAGGACAGUUGGUAAAACUGAGAUACCAUGCCAGGUAAUAGUCGGAGUUUCAGCUGGAAAAUAGAAGAUAUGUUUCCAUUGGGUCAAGCAAGAAGAGCUUGAGACAUCUCAUCGAUUACCUACAAAAACUGCCCAGAUAAGUGAGGAGACCCAUGAGAUUUGGUAUAAAUUGCUCACUGUAUGUGGGGUAACAGAAAGAAGAAUAACCCAACAUAGAAAGCCUCAAAGCAGGAAGAUACUACACAGACUUCCAAAGAAGCAGUGAGAGGACACCAUCUGAUGCUGGCUGCACCAAGAAGCCUGAAUGGCUGUCAGUGUCAGGUGGGGAAGCAGAUGACAGAAGAGAGGAGAACAUGAAAUUGUACUAUAACUGCGUUUGUUGUCCAAAUAAGCACAAGCUGUUCCAUAUACUUUUACAUGUUUCAUUUACUUCUGCAGAGAGGAAAGAAGAAAGAUGAGAGGGAAAGCUAAGAAAAGGUGAGAAGAAAGGGUCAGGAGGAGAAAUGCAAAGAGACUGGGAUAAUUUUUUGGACCAUACCUUCUCUGCUGGCAGCUUACUGUGACUGCACCAUCCAAAAUUUGGUAUAAGGAUUUGGAAAUUUGACCAAUAUUUCUUAGAAGAAGAAAAAGAAUCGAAUAGCUGGGCCACAGUGUUAUAGGAUUUAUGCAGCUCCCCCUUCGUCUUCCACCAUGAUUGUAAGCUUCCUGAGGCCUCACUAGAAGAUGAACAGAUGCCAACACCAUGCUUCCUGUAAAAUCUUCAGAACUGUUUUUUCCACUUCCCCAGAUGGUGUCUGUGGGAUUGGCUCUCACUUUCAAGCUUCACUGACCCUAGAUGAUGGACUAGGAUCUGCUUUGGACAUCUGAGCCCAGGCUAAAGUAGGCAAAGGACAAGAGCUGCCCGCUCUUUCAGAAGCAUCUCUCAGAGAGUGACAUCCCCCUGCACACAGCUGCCAUGUCUGUAUGGCUGACUUGGGAGAAAUGCCAGAAAGGUUGGCAUGAGUGAGCAACUGUGAGGAGACCAUCAGAUGGAAACACCCAAGAGGCACUGAAAUGAUCAGGACUAGCUGAACUGGAAAGGACAAAGGCAGAAGAAAAGUACCCUCAAUGUUUGGGCACCUUGGGUCCAAAUAGAGUUUAUUUAAUAAGGACUUACAGUGAUUUAACUUAAGGUUUUUGCCUUCAUGAUGGGUUUAUCAGGGUAUUAAAUGCAUUUUUAAUUUAGGAUAUUUUUGACUAACAAUGGGUCGAUUGAGAUGUAAACACUUUGUAAGUCAAGGAACAUCUGUAUAUGAAUAAAAUCACAAACUGACCAAGGCCAAAGAGUUCUCCAACACAUUGAUUUCAAGCUCAUGAACAAAGUAUCUCCUUUAAAACAUCCUAAGAUUAUCUAAUCCAAUUUCCUUAUUCUACAAUUAAGACUCCUGAAACCUAGAGGGAAGGUGACUCAACCAGACUCCAAUCCAGCUUGCUUCCAAGAAUGUGAACCAACGAAUCUAUGUAAUCUGCUCUAUCCAUUUCAACAUAAGGAAUGGUGUUACUUGAAUUGUUCACUCUCUAGGACUUUCAUUUGUUUCAUUUCUUUUCCUAUUUAGAAUUAUAGUAUGUGAAGCCUGAAGGCAUUAUAGGGAUAAUCUAGAUCCAAACCUUAUUUUCCAGAGGAAGAAAUGAAUGCACAUAGAGGAAAAGUAGAUUGUCCCAAGGUCAUCUAAUGGCACAGCUCAGAUUGGAAUCUCCAUUUCCUCAUCUCAAACCAGUGCUCUGUCAACUAAAAUAGAAUACUUAAAGAAUGCUGAGGCAUUGAGAGACAAGUAAUUGGAUUCUGAUACACUGUCAAAUAUUAAGAAUGAAUAGCUGUAAGUUCCUUAUUUGACAAAAGCCAAGAUUCUCAUCUUUAUUUUCCACUGAGAAAUAUCAUGCUAGAGACAAUCUUUGCAAACUUUGCUUCUAAGAUGCUAAGUCCUGCGGCAUGUAAUCUUUUCUUUUUUGUGAGUGAGUUGGCCUAAUGCCUAGAAGUUUCAUUACAUUUCCAGAAAGUCUUCUCUGGUAAUUUCAUGAAGCAUAUUACCUGUUUUAUCUUGAAAUGUCUUUACCUUCUAGGAGGUUUACUCAUGAAAGCAAUGCUGAAAAAUACAAUUUGGUUGUUUAAGUGGGAGACUUAGGUUAUUAAAUGUUUAUUUCCUUGGGUAAGAAAAUAUUUUCCUCUCUUUAAGGGAGUGUGGUUGUUAUUAUGAAAAGUUUUAGAAGUUAAAAUUGCUGAUGUACCUGAGGAAAGCCAAAUGUCACCUGUAUAUUUUUGAUCCUCAUUUCUUUGGCUCAUAGUCCAUUCUCUGUAUUUUCUCCAAAUUUUCAUCAGUCUUAGAAAAAUAUAAACUUCAUAAUUCUGGAGUCAUGACAACUUGUACUUAUUUUAAAUGCAAUUUGUGAUAUUACUUAUUAUUCUCUUUAAAGUAUUUUAAACUUCACUAUUUUUAUCAUUUGUAGAUGUAGAUAUUAAAUUUUGUGAAUGAGUUACUAAUUCACAUGGUUUAUCUAUAACUAUCUAUAAAAGUAUACAGUAAAAAUUUCCUUUCUCUACUCCAUUUUUCUUCUAUUCAGUUUUUAUUCUCUCAUCCCUCAAUUGGUGUUCAAUGUUACUGGGCUCUUGUGUAUCUUUAGCUAUUUUUCGUACACUUAAAUUCAAAUAUAUAUUCCCUAAAUUACCCAAUUUCUACAGACAUUAACAUCCUCACAUUCAUAUCUGCACAUUGCUCUUUCCACCUAACAAUAAAUCUUAGUUAUCUUUCUAUGUCAUUUGACAAAAAAACCUCUGUAAUAAUUUGUUAGCUUAAUAUUUUAUUCAAUUCUCCAAUCCUACUAAUGGACACUUGGAUUGAUUCUAAUCUUUUGCUGUUAGAAAUAAUGUUUCAAUAAAUACUCUUGUAAUAUGUCAUUUUGCAAGGAUAUGAGUAAAGUUCCUAGAAGUAUAAUUGAUGGAUCAAAGAAAAAACAUCUGUAAUAUUAAUUUCUGUAAACAACUUGCCCUCCAUGUGGGUUGUAUCAGCAAUAUAUUAAUGUUUUUUCUUCACAGUUUUCCCAACAUAGUGAGUUACCAAAAUUUGUUAUUUUCUUAACAAUCUGACAAACGAAAAUAGUGUCUCCAGCUUAUGCUUCUAGAAAGAAUAUGAUCGUUUACUCUAGGCCAAUGUUCACACUGCAACAAUUAGAAAAAUGCGAUUAAUUAUACUGAGUUUUUUGAGCUAAGAUUAUAGGGGCUUUUCCAUUUUUAUUAGUUCUUGGUUAUUAUAAAACUACUAUAAACAUUCUUAUACAUGUAUUUUGGUGAACAUAUGUCUUCCUUUCUCCUGGAUAUAAACCAAGAAUGAUAUUACUGGGUUAUACUGUUGGUAUGUGUUUAACUUUCUUAGAAAUUGCCAAAUGGUAUUUACAAAAUGGGUGUAUCAUUUUAUAUCCCUACCAAGAAUGUGUAAGAGUAAAAUUAGCUCUACAUUGAGGGGUUGAUAUCUGAGUUCAAACUUAAGUAAUACAGCCAGUCACUGAAAGCCCUGAGGAUAAAAGAGCUCCCAGUAGAGCAACACUAAGCUCAAAGAACCUGUGGCAUUUCUACGGGGAUAUUCCCUGCAACGUUAAAUUUAAUGUAUUCUAAAGUUUCACAUCAUAUGCCCCAUUGGUGGACUGUAAAUUCAAUUCAAGUUUUACCAAGAGAUAAUUUUUGAUGGAAUAUAAGGGACUAGCUUUUUUUUUCUACAAUAAACACUUAAAAAUGUUUUCCAUGUUGUAAAUGCAGCUUAACCAGUAACCAUAAUGAUAGACAUUUAAAUUACUUCUACUAUUUUGUUUUAAUACAUAAUGCUGUGAAAUUAACUUGUAAUAUGAUCUCAAAAGUACAUGAAGGUAUAAAUUGUAUAAAUUCCAGAAGUGUAAUCUCUGAGUUAAAAAAAGAAAACACUUGUAAUUUGAUAGAUAUUUUAAAAAGUGAACUUGUCAAUGUGCUCUCCAAAUUAUAUUAUCAAGAUCUGCUGAAUAAGCUAAAAUAUGGUGAGACUUAGCAUGCUGAUAGAAGAGGCCACACAUUUUUGACCAUUAUUCAAAACCCAACUUCUUAGCAUUUCCUAAUAUUUCAAAAGUAUAUUUGGAAAUCUCAUAGGAGUCUUUAUUUAAAUCAUCAGCAACUCCUUAUCUUAUUUCAUCUUUGGCAGUUUCUUAGAUAAUUAUGACAAUAUUAAUGUAAAAAUACAAAUGAUAAUGUAUGAUAUAUUUCAAUGUAGCAAGAAGAGAGGAUUUUGGAUGUUAUCACUACAAAUAAAUAAUAAGUGUUUGAGGUUAUGAAUAUGCUAAUUAACCUGAUUUGAUCAUUACACAAUAUAUGCAUGUAUGAAAACUUCACAUUGUACCCUUUAAAUAUAUG